rnacentral:rRNA from 1 species
UACGUAGGGUGCGAGCGUUAAUCGGAAUUACUGGGCGUAAAGCGUGCGCAGGCGGUUCGUUAAGUCAGAUGUGAAAGCCCCGGGCUCAACCUGGGAACUGCAUUUGUGACUGCAUGGCUAGAGUACGGUAGAGGGGGAUGGAAUUCCGCGUGUAGCAGUGAAAUGCGUAGAUAUGCGGAGGAACACCGAUGGCGAAGGCAAUCCCCUGGACCUGUACUGACGCUCAUGCACGAAAGCGUGGGGAGCAAACAGG